GCGGACGGGUGAGUAAUGCCUGGGAAAUUGCCCUGAUGUGGGGGAUAACCAUUGGAAACGAUGGCUAAUACCGCAUGAUAGCUUCGGCUCAAAGAGGGGGACCUUCGGGCCUCUCGCGUCAGGAUAUGCCCAGGUGGGAUUAGCUAGUUGGUGAGGUAAGGGCUCACCAAGGCGACGAUCCCUAGCUGGUCUGAGAGGAUGAUCAGCCACACUGGAACUGAGACACGGUCCAGACUCCUACGGGAGGCAGCAGUGGGGAAUAUUGCACAAUGGGCGCAAGCCUGAUGCAGCCAUGCCGCGUGUGUGAAGAAGGCCUUCGGGUUGUAAAGCACUUUCAGUCGUGAGGAAGGUGGUGUAGUUAAUAGCUGCAUCAUUUGACGUUAGCGACAGAAGAAGCACCGGCUAACUCCGUGCCAGCAGCCGCGGUAAUACGGAGGGUGCGAGCGUUAAUCGGAAUUACUGGGCGUAAAGCGCAUGCAGGUGGAUGAUUAAGUCAGAUGUGAAAGCCCGGGGCUCAACCUCGGAAUUGCAUUUGAAACUGGUCAUCUAGAGUACUGUAGAGGGGGGUAGAAUUUCAGGUGUAGCGGUGAAAUGCGUAGAGAUCUGAAGGAAUACCGGUGGCGAAAGGCGGCCCCCUGGACAGAUACUGACACUCAGAUGCGAAAGCGUGGGGAGCAAACAGGAUUAGAUACCCUGGUAGUCCACGCCGUAAACGAUGUCUACUUGGGAGGUUGUGGGCCUUGAGCCGUGGCUUUCGGAGCUAACGCGUUAAGUAGACCGCCUGGGGGAGUACGGUCGCAGAUUAAAACUCAAAUGAAUUGACGGGGGGCCCGCCACAAGCGGUGGAGCAUGUGGUUAAUUCGAUGCAACG
rnacentral:rRNA from 1 species